UGGGGAAUUUUGGACAAUGGGCGCAAGCCUGAUCCAGCCAUGCCGCGUGAGUGAAGAAGGCCUUCGGGUUGUAAAGCUCUUUCGGCGGGGACGAAAUGGUUCGUGCCAAUACCACGGACUGAUGACGGUACCUGAAGAAGAAGCACCGGCUAACUACGUGCCAGCAGCCGCGGUAAUACGUAGGGUGCAGGCGUUAAUCGGAAUUACUGGGCGUAAAGCGUGCGCAGGCGGUUUGUUAAGACAGAUGUGAAAUCCCCGGGCUUAACCUGGGAACUGCGUUUGUAACUGGCAGACUGGAGUGUGGCAGAGGGGGGUGGAAUUCCAAGUGUAGCAGUGAAAUGCGUAGAUAUUUGGAGGAACACCGAUGGCGAAGGCAGCCCCCUGGGCUAACACUGACGCUCAUGCACGAAAGCGUGGGGAGCAAACAGGAUUAGAUACCCCUGUAGUCCCUGAGCGGGCUGGCAAGGCGCAU
rnacentral:rRNA from 1 species